AUGGGUAUCAUUAGGAAGCACACACAGUCCUUAACUGAGACCUAGGAAAAACAAGUACAAGCGACUGCCUGGUUGGUGGGACUCUUGUUCCAGUGAGACAACUGGAAAGGUCUGUGUUUUAUAGAGAGACAGCUGAAUGCCUUUCACUUGUUUUCUUUGAAUGUAUGGAUGCUUGUUAAAAGAAGAUGAUGAAAGAGAGCCAGAAUCACCCCUUUUCAGGCUCGGGAAGGUUACAAGGCAAAUUUAAGAAAUUUAAGAAAUUGCCAGACCUGCUUAUGUGCAAUGAUCACCAACCACUGGCCAAGAUAAAGAAUCUCAGGACCCACACUUCAAGUCCACUGGCAUCUGCGACAGGAUCCUGGGAUGAUUUUCACAUACAGUGUGGACUGAGAAGAAGCAGACAGUUCACUGAACCUGCAAGGUCUGAAAUAUCAUCUUUGCAUGUCUUUCAGCGUUGGGAUAUUAGGAUGCCAUCUAGACAUCACUGGUAUUUUCCCUGCCUGCUUUAACAGGGGGUGGGGCGAGAGGUUAUCAUGCAGGUUGCUGCAGAGAUGAUGUUAAUAUUCAUAUAAAUUCUUAAGUUCA